GCCCUAGUAGCUCAAUGGUAGAGCAAACGACCGAUAAUCGUUAGAUGUGGGUUCAACUCCUAACUAGGGUACCA
rnacentral:tRNA from 1 species